rnacentral:rRNA from 1 species
UACAGAGGUCUCAAGCGUUGUUCGGAUUCAUUGGGCGUAAAGGGUGCGUAGGCGGCGCGGUAAGUCGGGUGUGAAAUCUCGAGGCUCAACCUCGAGACGCCGAUGGAAACCAUGUGGCUAGAGUCCGGAAGAGGAGAGUGGAAUUCCUGGUGUAGCGGUGAAAUGCGCAGAUAUCAGGAAGAACACCCGUGGCUAAGGCGGCUCUCUAGUACGGUACUGACGCUGAGACGCGAAAGCGUGGGGAGCGAACAGG